GACGAACGCUGGCGGCGUGCUUAACACAUGCAAGUCGAGCGGUAAGGCCCUUCGGGUACGACGAGCGGCGAACGGGUGAGUAACACGUGGGUGACCUGCCUCUAGCUCUGGGAUAAGCCUGGGAAACUGGGUCUAAUACCGGAUAUGACUCCACGGCGCAUGUUGUGGGGUGGAAAGCCUUGUGUGGCUAGAGAUGGGCCCGCGGCCUAUCAGCUUGUUGGUGGGGUGAUGGCCUACCAAGGCGA
rnacentral:rRNA from 1 species